GACGAACGCUGGCGGCGUGCUUAACACAUGCAAGUCGAACGCGCCUGUCCUCUGGGUUUCUGGGGGGUGGGUGAGUGGCGAACGGGUGAGUAACACGUGAGUAACCUGCCCCCUUCUUCGGGAUAACGGUCUGAAAGGGCUGCUAAUACCGGGUAUUCACUGGUCUCCGCAUGGGGUCUGGUGGAAAGGUUUUUUUCUGGUGGGGGAUGGGCUCGCGGCCUAUCAGCUUGUUGGUGGGGUGAUGGCCCACCAAGGCUUUGACGGGUAGCCGGCCUGAGAGGGUGACCGGGCACAUUGGGACUGAGAUACGGCCCAGACUGCUACGGGAGGCAGCAGUAGGGAAUAUUGCACAAUGGGCGCAAGCCUGAUGCAGCGACGCCGCGUGAGGGAUGGAGGCCUUCGGGUUGUGAACCUCUUUCGCCCGUGGUCAAGCCGCGACGUGGGUCGUGGUGAGGGUAGUGGGUAAAGAAGCGCCGGCUAACUACGUG
rnacentral:rRNA from 1 species